rnacentral:rRNA from 1 species
UACGAAGGGGGCUAGCGUUGCUCGGAAUUACUAGGCGUAAAGCGUGCGUAGACGGUUUCGUAAGUCGGGUGUGAAAUCCCCGGGCUCAACCUGGGAAUUGCAUUCGAAACUGCGAGGCUAGGGUACGGAAGAGGGAAGCGGAAUUUCUGGUGUAGCGGUGAAAUGCGUAGAUAUCAGAAGGAACAUCAGUGGCGAAAGCGGCUUCCUGGUCCAGUACCGACGUUCAGGCACGAAAGCGUGGGGAGCAAACAGG